rnacentral:rRNA from 1 species
ACGCACGCUGGCGGCAUGCCUCACACCUGCCAGUCGCACGAUGCCUUCGGGCAUAGUGGCGCACGGGUGAGUAACGCGUGGGAACCUGCCCUGUGGUACGGAAUAACUCCGGGAAACUGGAGCUAAUACCGUAUGUGUCCCCUGGGACAAAGAUUUAUCGCCACGGGAUGGGCCCGCGUAGGAUUAGCUUGUUGGUGGGGUAACGGCCUACCAAGGCUACGAUCCUUAGCUGGUCUGAGAGGAUGAUCAGCCACACUGGGACUGAGACACGGCCCAGACUCCUACGGGAGGCAGCAGUGGGGAAUAUUGGACAAUGGGCGCAAGCCUGAUCCAGCAAUGCCGCGUGAGUGAUGAAGGCCUUCGGGUUGUAAAGCUCUUUCGCACGCGACGAUGAUGACGGUAGCGUGAGAAGAAGCCCCGGCUAACUUCGUG